CAGCCGUGCCCGGGCCGGGAGUCCUAGGUGUGCGCAUGCUCCCUGCCCUCCUGGGCCCGGCUCCUUCGCAGGGUCCCCGCGGCCGGCGCAGGGCGCUGCAGCCCUCGAGGGGUCGGGACUUCCUGCUGAGCGGCGGUCACCCUGCCCUGCCUGGGUGCGCGGGAGGGAGCGGCCUCGGCCCGGGGCAAGGGGCGGCGGCUCGGGGCGCUGCCGGGCGGCCCCAGGCCCGGGUGACAGCACGUGGACUCCAGGAGACAGGGGCGCCGGCCGGGGAGACGGGAGGCGAGGACCUCGGACUGCAGGGCGCAGACCCCGCGGCGCGCUCGGGCGGGAGAGGAGCGGCCUGGACGGCGACAGUGGCCGUGGGGCCCCCAGCGCUCUGCUCCGCGCGGCCCGCCUCUCCUGGGGCGCUGCCCCUCGCACCCCUUCUUCCCAGCUCCCUGCCCCGGCUCCCCCACCCACGGCGGCGCUCUGGCCCGGGGCUCGCCGUCGGAGGGAGCGCAGGUGGAGGGCAAGGCCGGUCCCUGGCCACCGUGUGCCCCCGGAGCGAGCAGCUCGGGACCCUGGCCCGGGAGCGUGUCCUGGCCGCGGGUCCGGUGAGUGGCCUUCGGCUGGCCUCGGCCUCGGCGUCCCCGCCCCUCCGCCCGCCCGCGGGCGCCUCGGCCUUUUCCUUGUGGACACUUGGCGCUCUGCGUGUCAGGAGAGGCGCUGAGUCACAUCUGCCUGCUAUUUUUUCCCCGCCUGUCACUUGUCCCUUGACUCUGCGGUUUGGGGUUUGUCUUUGGUCAGGCACACAACUUGAGUUUGGGUGUCAUCGGACUCUCCAGGCUUGUCCUUACUUUUCUUUUUUAAGAUUGAUUCAGUUGAGGGGUGCCUGGCUGGCUCAGCGCUUGGGCGCCUGCCUUGGGCUUGGGGCCUGAUCCCGGGGUGUAGGAUCCAGUCCCCCGCCGGGCUCCCCGCGGGGAGCCAGCGUCUCCCCCUGCCUGUGUCUCUGCCUCUCUCACGGAUAAAUAAAUGAAAGCUUUAAAAAAAGAAACGUUUAUUU
rnacentral:lncRNA from 1 species